rnacentral:rRNA from 1 species
UACGGAGGGUGCAAGCGUUAUCCGGAUUUACUGGGUUUAAAGGGUGUGUAGGCGGGCUUUUAAGUCAGUGGUGAAAUCUCCGGGCUCAACCCGGAAACUGCCAUUGAUACUAUUAGUCUUGAAUUUUGUUGAGGUAGGCGGAAUAAGUCAUGUAGCGGUGAAAUGCUUAGAUAUGACUUAGAACACCAAUUGCGAAGGCAGCUUGCUAAACAAACAUUGACGCUGAGGCACGAAAGCGUGGGGAUCGAACAGG